rnacentral:rRNA from 1 species
UACGUAUGGUGCAAGCGUUAUCCGGAUUUACUGGGUGUAAAGGGAGCGUAGGCGGCGCGUUAAGUCUGAUGUGAAAACCCGAGGCUCAACCACGGGAGUGCAUUGGAAACUGGCGUGCUGGAGCGCCGGAGAGGUAAGCGGAAUUCCUAGUGUAGCGGUGAAAUGCGUAGAUAUUAGGAGGAACACCAGUGGCGAAGGCGGCUUACUGGACGGCAACUGACGCUGAGGCUCGAAAGCGUGGGGAGCAAACAGG